rnacentral:rRNA from 1 species
GACGAACGCUGGCGGCGUGCUUAACACAUGCAAGUCGAACGGUGAAGGGACCAGCUUGCUGGUUCUGGAUGAGUGGCGAACGGGUGAGUAGCACGUGAGUAACCUGCCCCCUUCUUCUGGAUAACCGCAUGAAAGUGUGGCUAAUACGGGAUAUUCUGGGUCUGUCGCAUGGCGGGCCCGGGAAAGAUAUUGCUUCGGUGGGGGAUGGGCUCGCGGCCUAUCAGCUUGUUGGUGGGGUGAUGGCCUACCAAGGCGGUGACGGGUAGCCGGCCUGAGAGGGGGGAGGCUCACAGUGGGACAGAGACCAGCCCAAGACCCGUGGGGGGGGGGCGGGGGGGGAAAAUAGAGGAGGGGGCGAAACCGAGAGGCAGCGCCCCCGGGGGGGGGGGGGGCGCUUGGGGUUUAAAACCCUCUGGCGCAGGAAAGGCGGGCGUGUUCUUUGGGGGUGGUUGGCGGGUGGUUGAAAAAAAAGCCCCGGCAAAUUACGU